CCGGCCGCCUUCCGCGGCCACCGCCGGGCCCGCUCCCGCCGCCGACGCCCAGGUGCGCCAGGUGCGGGCCGGGCGGGGGUCGCGCUCACCUUUCUGGCCGCUGAGUGCCGCGUACCAGGACAGCGAGAGGAAGGCGCACAGGCAGAAGAGCAGCAGCGUCAGGAAGGUGCCAUUGCGGAGCCUCAUCUCCUCGGUGUCUGCGAGAUUAAUCUCUCAUGGCCGCUGCACAAGAACCUGGCUUUUAGCUGAACUAAGGAGAAAGUCCUACAACAGUUUGGCGUGCAACAUGGGGCUUGAGAAAGGGUUUUCAGCAGCUUCCGGAGGCCGCCUGGACUGCAGAAGGCGCCCUGGGCGUGUGUACUUCCACCUCCGCAGGCGCUGGCAUCUCCAGGCUGCUUCAGGCCGCUUUGGACCUCACCAUCGGUAGCAUCUGCGUCUUCUUGAGGUGACUGGAGCCCGUCUAUGGUUUCAGCCAUUGACUUCUGGACAUGGAAGUGUCGAGGCCAUUUUUGGCCCCUCUCAUAUCCGGGAAGGGCUCCGUGCCCAGUAGAGGUGCAGUGCAGCAGCCAGCUCGCAGCAGUGCUCCCGUAGAGCUGAUGGCAUUGGCAGGAGUGGCGGCUCAGCACAGGGAAGUUCUCCAGUGCCCAGGCCCAGGCUUGCUCUCGGUUUAGGUCCCAUGGCACGUGGGGCUCUGGACCUGCCUGCCUCCAAGACAGCUCUUCCAAGGUUGAGGGUUGGAACUCCACAGCCUCAGCCUCCCAAAGCUUGACCAGGCCCAGCCAUAGCUAGUCUAGGAAAAGAGCAAAUGGCCGUGUUUUUAUAUUUUGACUUUUGCAUUUCAAUAUUAAUUUUUUUGGUAAUGUAAUGCAUUCAAAACAUGGUCCCCCCCCCCCCAAAAAAAAAAGAAAAGAAAAAGAAAAA
rnacentral:lncRNA from 1 species